rnacentral:lncRNA from 1 species
ACCAAACAUUUUCUCUGCUUCUUUUAAGGGUGUGGACAAUCGGGCAAGUGACUGCAUGUGACAACAGAGAGAGGGCAUGGUACACGGUGGCAGAUGAGCCCGGGACUGGAGGCAGAUCUGGGUUCCAGUUCGGGCUCUACCAGCAGCACCCAUGUGUCCUUCUGUUCUCUGGGCCUCAAUUUCCUGUUGUAAAAUUCAGAACUUGGAAGAGAACUACAGAAAGGGACAGAGCUGUUUAUGUCAUGAAAAGCAGGCCUGAGCAUUAGAAGACUGAGAAACACCUGGGAGGAUCUUGUUUCAACAGAGCUCAAAGCCGUGGCAAAAGGACGGAGCUCGAAUUGUGCAAUUCAUUUCAGGAGGUUCCUGUGAAAAACCUACAUGCACACACCCCCACGUGCAGCUGCAGACUGCUAUCUAUACACGAAGUUAUGCAUCGCAGAGUCGACUGCAAAAGGCUGGAGCCCACACAGCGUCUAUCAAUAGGGAACGGGUUAAAUCGACCACAAGAUUUCCAUAUGACGAUGGAACACUUUCCAGCCAAGAAAGGAGGAGGAAGUCCUCACUGCUCUGAUACGGAACAGUCACCAAGACAUAUUUUAAGUAAAAAAAAGGCAGCAUGCAUAACCAGGGAAAUGAAAACUAAAACCACAGUGAGUUACAAUUUCACACAGAUCCAUCUACAAAAAAAAAAAAGCUGAUAAUUGCAGGUGUUGGUGAAGAAGUGGAGUGAGGGGAAUGCUCAAACUACUAGUGGGUGUGCGAAUGGUUAUAACCACUUUUUAAAAUUUUGGCAUUAUCUACUGAAGUUGACAAUGUACUUUCCCAAUGGCCUUGCAAAUGCCCUGGAGAAGUUCUUACCCAACCCCCGCCAUUCCCCCCAACACACACCAAAAGAAACAAUUAAGAACAUUUGCACCAGCUCUGUUCCUAGAACCCCAAAACUGAGGCCAGCACUGAGGCCAAGCACAGUGGCUCAUGCCUGUAAUCCCAGCAGGCAUGAGCCACCCUUUGGGAGCCUGAGGCCGGAGGAUUAUUGAGGUUGAGAGUUCAAGACCAGCCUGGGCAACAUAGUGAGACCUUGUCUCUAUAAAAGAAGUUUUAAAAAUUAGCCAGGUGUGAUGGCUCAUGCUUGUAGUCCCAGCUAAUUGGGAGGCUGAGGUAGGAGGAUCGUUUCUUGAGCCCUGGAGGUUGAGGCUGCAGUGAGCCAUGAUUGCACCACUGCACUCCAGCCUGGGCAACAGAAUGAGACCCUGUCUCAAAAAAUAAAAUUAAAUUAGAAAACAAUAAUAAUUAUUAUUAAUAAAUAAAAUAGUCCAAUGAAAAUAAUCAUACUAUCUCCAUGCAAUGGAAUUCUAUACAAGAGUGAAAAUGAACUAACUCCGGACAUGCGUAUCAGUACACUGAACUUCAGAACUAUAAUUAUGGGUGGGACAAAAGCCAGCCAUAGAAAACUAUUCUAUUCAUAAUCCCAAAAAGGUAGUAUACCAUAUUCAAUUAUUAUAUAUAUUUAUGUCUUGUUAUAUAUAAUGUUUAUUACAUUUAUCUUAGUA